GUAAAAGAUGGAUUCUACCAGGAUUUAUGCUUUCAUAAUGAUAUACUUCUUGGCUUUCUGCAUCUUAACAUCAGAUCUCUGUAAGAAAUCUGAAGGAAGAGAUCUUGAUGGACCAUGUAAAUCAGAUAAAGAUUGUCAACCUGGAUGUCCUGGAAAAAAAGGGCAAUGUAUUCGUGGGCGAUGUUGGUGUAUUGAUGCAUCAUAUUUUGAUGAUAUUAAUACUAGUGUUGUACCUCCAAUUGCAUUAUGAGAAAAGUAGUCUCGUGAUGCAAUCAUGUAUGAAUAAAGUUGUUAAUUAAAAGUGCAAAAACUAUUGUCUAUCUUAAGAUAUUAUUAUCUUCUAAAGUUGGUUCAACAUUUUUAAA